UACAACAUUCUGUUCUCAUAUCCAACACAUUUCUGACUUUGACAGAUGAAGACAUCUCAAGUUGCUUUGGUUGUCAUCGUCAGCCUGUCUUUGAUUCUGACUGCUAACGCGCAAUUCAACGAAGGAUUCUUUCCCAUGAUGAUGAUGAUGAGUCCUCAGAUGAUGGGUCAAGGGAGUAUGCUCCCAUAUCUCAUGAUGUAUAGCGGUAAUGACCAAGCAAGGAGUAUCUUCCCCUUCUUAUUUAUGUCCAGAAUGUUCUCUGGAGCCGGAACUAUGUAAACAAAGACUUCUGGGAGAUGGAAUCAUGUAGCUGACACACAAUGAACAUUUUAAAGACAUUGCUAACUUAUAAUCUGAGAUUUGUAGCUACUCGUGGCCUAAGGUGGUUUGUGGUCAUUCUACGAGCCUGUGGCACGGGAGAAACUGAAUUCCUUGCAUAAAUAUUGUAUAGUGUUUUUGAACGAAAUAUUAAUUAAAUAUUAAAACUGGAAUGA
rnacentral:sRNA from 1 species